GACAGUUCCAUGCGGUUAAGUCACGCAAAGACCAUAAAACCCAGGCAGAUGAUGAUGAUGAUGUCCAGCUCCUGACCAUGCAAAAUCCAUCUCUACUCGGUGUCUCACCUCUCACCCACUUAUUGCUCUCAUCCUGGGCCUCACUGGACCUGUGGCAUCAGGCAGGAGGCCAUGUGGGCUGUUCCUUAAGCAACGGGCACCACCAUCAACUCCUCCUCCAAGGCUAGAGACAACAGCUCUAUCCAGGUGGCCUCCUUGGUGCUCACAUCCAUCAUCCUCCUAGUGCCGGGGUUCUGGGCCACCACCAGCGCCCACGCCUGUGUUGAGAACGUCCCACAUGGAAUGGAACACUCCCGGGACAUUCCAGAACCCAGGAAAAGAGAAUCCAUUAGAAGCCAAGAGAAAAACCAAGACGCAGAGAUCAUCACAUUAGACAAGACCUUUAAAACAAUUCUAAAUAUAUCAAGGGAUUGCAUAGGAAAGAUGAAUAAAAUGGAAGCAACAAAGAUAUUUUAGGAAAGAUAUGGAAACUCUAACAGGACCACGUGGAAAUUGUAGAACUCAAAAAAGUAGAUGAAAACAGUUUCAAUGGAUGUAUCUAGUAUGCGUCCAGCAGAA